rnacentral:rRNA from 1 species
UAGAGAGAGACAUGCGCGCAUAUCAAUAAGCGGAGGAAAAGAAACUGACAAGGAUUCCCUUAGUAACGGCGAGUGAAGCGGGAAGAGCUCAAAUUUGAAAUCUUCAAGGUUUUACCUUGACGAAUUGUAGUUUAAAGAAGUGUUUUCUGCUGAAGUUUUGGUAAAAGUUCUUUGGAAUAGGACAUCAUAGAGGGUGAGAAUCCCGUAUUUGACCAUUAUUUUCAGCUUUGUGAUACACUUUCAAAGAGUCGGAUUGUUCGGGAAUGCAGUCCAAAAUGGGUGGUAAAUUUCAUCUAAAGCUAAAUAUUGGCGAGAGACCGAUAGCGAACAAGUACCGUGAGGGAAAGAUGAAAAGAACUUUGAAAAGAGAGUUAAACAGUACGUGAAAUUGUCAAAAGGGAAGCGUUUGACACCAGUGUUGUUUUCUCGAAAAUCAAUUAAAAAUGGCUCGAUUUUGUAUUGUUGAGACCUUAAAAGCUCACUGUACAUUUUUCGUGUCUUUUUUAAUACACUUUUCGUUUAACAAGUCAACAUCAGUUUCUUUUGUUGUAAAAGGGUCAUUGGAAGGUGGCUUUCUUUUCGGAGAAAGUGUUUAUAGCCUUUGGCCUCUGCAAUCGGAGAGACUGAGGUCUGCAGCGUAGACUCUUCGGGGUUAGAUACAUUUGUGCUAAGUUAGUAGCUUUUUAUAGACAACUUGUUGACUAUAAUUAGUCUUGUAGCUUACUCGCUUAUGCUAUUUUACCUACGCUUAGGAUGUUGAAGUCAUCGUAUCGCGC